rnacentral:tRNA from 1 species
GUGGGAAUGGCGAAACUGGCAGACGCGCUAUCUUGAGGGGGUAGUAAGGUUAACUUGUGUGGGUUCAAGUCCCACUUUCCACACCA